rnacentral:rRNA from 1 species
UACGUAGGGUGCGAGCGUUGUCCGGAAUUAUUGGGCGUAAAGAGCUCGUAGGCGGUCUGUCGCGUCGGUCGUGAAAACUUGGGGCUUAACCCUGAGCUUGCGGUCGAUACGGGCAUGACUGGAGUUCGGCAGGGGAGACUGGAAUUCCUGGUGUAGCGGUGAAAUGCGCAGAUAUCAGGAAGAACACCAAUGGCGAAAGCAGCUCUCUGGGACGGUACUGACGCUGAGACGCGAAAGCGUGGGGAGCGAACAGG